GGACCUGUACUACAACGGUUCAACAUCCAUCUGCCUCGCUUUUCUGUGACAAGCGAUAAAACUGGGAAAUAUGUUAUGUAGGAUGGGUGUCUCAAUAUUAUUAUUUAUACUAAAAUGUAUAAAUAAUUGUACUUGUAAGGAUGAGAAUGUAAGAUUUAAAUGCCAUUCAAUGUGGGAAUAAUGUGUUUAUCUGGUGUGAGAACAUUUAAAUGUUAUGAGUAUGAGAAGGGCAGGAAAUCAAAAGAUCUUGUCUCUUUUACCUGCUCUUYUUCGAACAAAUAACGUAAAAAGGGCCUGCCUAGAAUGGAUUAUUGUUAGAAACCUGGUUUUGGGGUGUGUUUUUGUUGUGUUCAGUUUGUUUGUGCAGAUAGUCUGGAGCUGCUGUCACUGGAGGGCGGAACCACUGAUUAUCACUGACACCUGCAGRUCCUCUCCUGCAAUCAUCCAGGGGAUAAAAGGAGUUGGCUGUCAGUUCUCCAGUACCUGAGUGUUUGCCUGCAAUGGCUUCCUCCACCACCUCCUGGUUCAUCUACCAGAGUUUCCCUGAGCCUCCUCGAGAACCCAAGAUCUCCUGGAGCAGUUCUGAGACUGACAGCUUCAAGGUCUUUGUCCCCGGUCCGCACGGUAAUCUGUCCACCCUCCAACUAUCUGGCUGCACUGCACUGACUUGUCUUUCACUCAACCACCCCCCUCUGGUGGACGCUCACUCACAACCCAAGUAAGAGAAGUUUUUUGGUUCCUCAUCAUUUCCUCAGUAUUUUUGUGUUGCUCAUCAUAUUCUCCUCUGCCUUCAGUGAAUUCCUUUCCCCCGGGUCUCCAGCCCCAGAAGGAGAUUCUCUUAACUUAUUUGCUUUUUAUUUGUAAAUAAACCUUUUGAACUUU